rnacentral:rRNA from 1 species
CAAUAGCGUAUAUUAAAGUUGUUGCAGUUAAAAAGCUCGUAGUUGAAUUUUUGCUUGCCGCCGACGUCGGAACUUCCGUACGUUCGGCGGCGUGCAUCCUUGGGUGGAACCUGUGUGGCAUUAGGUUGUCGUGCAGGGGAUGCUCAUCGUUUACUGUGAAAAAAUUAGAGUGUUCAAAGCAGGCUUACGCCGUUGAAUAUAUUAGCAUGGAAUAAUAAGAUAGGACCUUGGUACUAUUUUGUUGGUUUGCGCACCGAGGUAAUGAUUAACAGGGACAGUUGGGGGUAUUCGUAUUCCAUUGUCAGAGGUGAAAUUCUUGGAUUUCUGGAAGACGAACUACUGCGAAAGCAUUUACCAAGGAUGUUUUCAUUAA